rnacentral:rRNA from 1 species
UACGUAGGGUGCGAGCGUUGUCCGGAAUUAUUGGGCGUAAAGAGCUCGUAGGCGGUCUGUCGCGUCGGCUGUGAAAUCCCGAGGCUCAACCUCGGGUCUGCAGUCGAUACGGGCAAACUAGAGUAUUGCAGGGGAGACUGGAAUUCCUGGUGUAGCGGUGAAAUGCGCAGAUAUCAGGAGGAACACCGGUGGCGAAGGCGGGUCUCUGGGCAAUAACGGACGCUGAGGAGCGAAAGCGUGGGGAGCGAACAGG